rnacentral:rRNA from 1 species
AGUGAACGCUGGCGGUAGGCCUAAUACAUGCAAGUCGAACGGCAGCACAGUAAGAGUUUGCUCUUACGGUGGGCGAGUGGCGGACGGGUGAGGAGUACAGCGGAAGCUACUUUUUCGUGGGGGACAACGUAGGGAAACUUACGCUACUACAGCAUACCACUAACGGGUGAAAGUAGGGGAGCUUGGGACCUUUGGCGAUUGAAUGAGCCGAUGUCGGAUUAGUUAGUUGGCGGGGUAAAGGCCCACCAAGGCGACGAUCCGUAGCUGGUCUGAGAGGAUGAUCAGCCACACUGGAACUGAGCCACGGUCCAGACUCCUACGGAGGGCAGCGUUGGGGAAUAUUGGCCAAAGGCGGCAGGCCUGAUCCAGCCCUACCGCGUGGUUGAAGAAGGCCUUCGGGUUGUAAAGCCCUUUUGUUGGGAAAGAAAAGCAGCAGGUUAAAACCCCGCUGUUCUGACGGUACCCAAAGAAUAAGCACCGGCUAACUUCGUG